GCCGCCUUAGCUCAGUGGUAGAGCAAUUCUUUCGUAAAGAAGAGGUCCCGAGUUCGAAUCUCGGAGGCGGCU
rnacentral:tRNA from 1 species